rnacentral:rRNA from 1 species
GUGCCAGCCGCCGCGGUAAUACCGGCAGCCCGAGUGAUGGCCGAUCUUAUUGGGCCUAAAGCGUCCGUAGCUGGCCGGACAAGUCCGUUGGGAAAUCCACCCGCUUAACGGGUAGGCGUCCAGCGGAAACUGUCCGGCUUGGAGCCGGAAGACCUGAGGGGUACGUCCGGGGUAGGAGUGAAAUCCCGUAAUCCUGGACGGACCGCCGGUGGCGAAAGCGCCUCAGGAGGACGGACUCGACAGUAAGGGACGAAAGCCAGGGUCUCGAACCGGAUUAGAAACCCUUGUAGUCC